rnacentral:rRNA from 1 species
AUACGGAGGAUCCGAGCGUUAUCCGGAUUUAUUGGGUUUAAAGGGUGCGCAGGCGGCCAUUUAAGUCAGCGGUUAAAUCGUGGGGCUCAACCCCAUUCUGCCGUUGAUACUGGGUGGCUUGAUUGCGGUCGAGGUUGGCGGAAUUCGUUGUGUAGCGGUGAAAUGCAUAGAUAUGACGAAGAACACCGAUUGCGUAGGCAGCUGACCAGACCGCAAAUGACGCUCAUGCACGAAAGUGCGGGGAUCGAACAGGAUUAGAUACCCUGGUAGUCCGCACAGUAAACGAUGAAUACUUGUUUUCGGCGAUAUAAUGUCGGAGGCAAAGCGAAAGCGAUAAGUAUUCCACCUGGGGAGUACGCCGGCAAUGGUGAAACUCAAAUGAAUUGACGGGG